UGUUCCAUGGCCAAAUUGGUCAAGUCAUCGGCAAUUAUAGGCGAAGAUGCGGGUUCGAGUCCCGCUGGUACAG
rnacentral:tRNA from 1 species